UACGUAGGGUGCGAGCGUUAAUCGGAAUUACUGGGCGUAAAGCGUGCGCAGGCGGUUCGUUAAGUCCGAUGUGAAAGCCCCGGGCUCAACCUGGGAACUGCAUUUGAAACUGGCGGGCUUGAGUAUGGCAGAGGGGGGUGGAAUUCCGCGUGUAGCAGUGAAAUGCGUAGAGAUGCGGAGGAACACCGAUGGCGAAGGCAGCCCCCUGGGCCAACACUGACGCUCAGGCACGAAAGCGUGGGGAGCAAACAGG
rnacentral:rRNA from 1 species